AAUCAUGUAAGCUAAUGAGAUGCAGCUGGUGUGGUUUAAUUGAAAGUGCUUAGAAGUAGUCAGAAAAGAUUGUCCUUACUUGUCCAUACUUAUAUAUCAAUAUGGAUAUGGGUGAUAUUUGACUUUAAAUGAACCUAAAAUAAAAAGUAUAUAUUGAUUUAAUGAAAUAUAGCUGGUUGAUAGACUUAGAAGAAGCGUGACGUCAGACGCUUAUUAACAUACUGGGCAGUAUUUAUAGGCUCAUGGCGACGUGCAUUAUCACUCUGCUCCUGCUUCUUUGAGACAGUCUUCCUGUGUGGUCUCUGUGCUUGCAAGCUUGGUCCCCUACAAUCAUGUCUGACAAACCUGAUGUUACUGAGGUCACAACCUUUGACAAAACCAAGCUGAAGAAGACUGAAACCCAAGAGAAGAACCCCCUGCCAACUAAAGAAACAAUUGAACAGGAGAAGGCAGAGUCAUCAUGAAGACCGGUCUAUGUACUGCACAUCCCACAGCAAUGGCAUCAAAUUCUUCUGGAUAUGGCUUCCCUUGGCGUGGGAUUUCUUUAAUCCCUGCUGUGGAAUGAUGGACUUGCUUGUGGCCUCCUCCUGGCCAGUUUUGAAUGCUCACUAAGCAAGAUAUUUCUUGUAAACCUGGAAUGCACAAUUUUCAGAAUGUCGAAAAUUAAAACAAACUUGAG